rnacentral:lncRNA from 1 species
UCCAAGAUAAGUGGAGCGAAAAGUGGAUACCAUAAAAGUGUACCUUGAAUCUCGUGUGUCUUAAUUAUAUACUUUGGAUAAUUUUGAUUGGGCUUUGAAUGGUUGGGAUGAAUACUUGGAUUUCCCCGUAUUAGGCCUUUGGCCGUUCUAGUACAAUUGUUAUUUUAUAUUUUACUAUUUUUUUUAUUUUUUAAUUAUUAAAUUAUGAAUAAAAUAUGAUUUUAUAUAAGAUAAUAACUUUAUGAUAUAUCAACUCCUUAAAGAUUAGUUACUUUUAUUAAUAUGUGAGAAUCUGG